UAAAAAUGGUCUGAUUUCCAGUGGUCAGGAAGCAUUGACUGGCAACUGUCUUAAACACUCUGAGACGCUACCCUGCAUGAUGGACACUAUAUAUAUGCAAGUUGUUGUUGCCUUUGAUCGUGCCAAGUUAUAAGAAAUUCGGAUACAUUAAGACUUUGCUACAUCCCGAGUACUAAUUGCACUUAAAUAGUGGCUUUCACGUUGGAAUAUGUCGCAAAGUGCUUUAUGGAGAAGGAGAGAUGUGAACGCAGCAGCCAA